UCAUGAGAAAAAACAAGACUUAUUUUAUUAGAAAGAAAUAGUUCAGAACCAUUGACUACCAAAUUUUAGCAGAAUUUUAAAGAAAUACGUGUGUUUUCUUUUUUAGAUGGUCAGCCAUCAGUUCAAGUAUUUGAUAAAACUCUCCAAAUAAAGCAGAUGCAUGUGUUGGAAGCUCUGGAUGUUUUGAUUGCCCGAACAGACGAAAGUAGGAAAGGUCCUUGUUAUUUGGUUCUUAUUUGAAUGUCUGUUUAACUGUUUAUUUGGCAGACAUAUCAGUAGAAGGGAAUGCCUUAGGUGCUUUUCUUUAAGAGUUGUUUUUGUUUUUUAACUUGGAAGCAUGCUGUAGAAUUUUAAUUCCCACAGCACUAGAUUUAUAUAAUCACCUUUUGUCCUUUUGUCACAUCACAUAGCUAUUCUUAAUUAUUGUAAUUAGGUUUUUGAGCUCUGAGUUUAUUGUUCUCCUUUUCAGAUCUUUCCACUACUUUCCCUUUGCUGAUUUCCCCUGGGCUGCUUACGUACAUGCCCUAUGGCUUUAGGGUUUGUAAGUGUCUUGAGGUGUGGAAAAAAAUCUCUAGAUGCUCAGAAUCAUGCUUCAGAGCAAACCUGAAACUGGCCAUAUUGAAUCAUCAAAUGGUUUUGGUUGGAAACAACUUUUCAAGACCUUUUAGUCCGACCUCCCUGCCAUGGUCAGGUACAUCUUUCAGUAGAUGAGGUUGCCCAAAGCCUCAUCCAGCCUGACCUUGAACACUUCAGGAGAUGGGACAUCCACAUCUUCUCUGGGCAACCUGUUCCAGUGCCUCACCACUCUCAUAGAUUAGAUAAAAGGAAUAAAUUUUUUGCUAAAUCUACCGUCUUUCUGUUUGAAACUAUUACGCCUUGUGCUGUCACUACGUGCCCUUGUAAAAUGUCUCUCUCUCUCUUUCUUAUAAGCCUCCUUUAAGUAUUGAAAGGCCACAAUAACGUCUCCUCAGAGCCUUCUUUUAUCCAGGUUAAAAGAACACAGCUUCCUCAGCCUUUCUUGUAGGUGUUCCAGCCCUCUUAUCAUUUUUGUGACCCUUCUCUGGAUCCACUUUAACAGGUCCAUGUCCUUCUUGUGCUGGGCACACCUGAGCUGAACACAGUACUCCAGGUUGUAUCUUACAGGGGCAGUGUGAAGUGGGGGAGUAUCACUUCCCUCGACCUUCUAGGCCACACUUCUUUUUGUGCAGCACAGGAUAUGAUUAACUUUCUGGGCUGAAGGUAGACAUUACUGGCUCACGCCAGAUUUGUCAUCCACCAGUAUAUAGUUGGUCUCCAGCUACUCUUAGAACUCAACACUCUGGAAAUCUCCCUAGCUGAAUAAUGUGUUUGUUCAGUUGUACAAAAACGUGGAGGAAAUUACUUAUGCUGUCACUGUUCUACCAAAUGUGUUACUGGUUUUUGUUCUGUGAUGUGUAACUACAUUCUAGUGCUAUAGAUUAUAUUCUCUUAAAUAUUCUGGUAU